rnacentral:rRNA from 1 species
CACGUAGUUAGCCGGUGCUUCUUAUUCCGGUACCGUCAUCCACACAGGGUAUUAACCUAUGCGAUUUCUUCCCGGCCGAAAGAGCUUUACAACCCGAAGGCCUUCUUCACUCACGCGGCAUGGCUGGAUCAGGGUUGCCCCCAUUGUCCAAAAUUCCCCACUGCUGCCUCCCGUAGGAGUCUGGACCGUGUCUCAGUUCCAGUGUGGCGGAUCAUCCUCUCAGACCCGCUACAGAUCGUCGCCUUGGUAGGCCUUUACCCCACCAACUAGCUAAUCUGAUAUCGGCCGCUCAAUCAGCGCAAGGUCUUGCGAUCCCCUGCUUUCCUGCUCACAGAAUAUGCGGUAUUAGCGUAACUUUCGCUACGUUAUCCCCCACUGAAAGGUACGUUCCGAUACUUUACUCACCCGUUCGCCACUCGCCGGCGGACCGAAGUCCCCGCUGCCGUUCGACUUGCAUGUGUAAGGCAUGCCGCCAGCGUUCAAUCUGAGCCAGGAUCAAACUCU